AUACUUACCUGGCAGGAGAGAUACCAUGAUGAUGAAGGUGGUUUUCCCAGGCGAGGCUUAUCCAUUGCACCCCAGAUGUGCUGGCCCCUACGAUUCCCCCAGUGUGGGAAACUCAACUGCAUAAUCUGUGGUAGUGGGGAAGUGCGUUCGCGCUCUCCCCUG
rnacentral:snRNA from 1 species